rnacentral:tRNA from 1 species
GGUGAGGUGGUCGAGCGGUUAGGCAGCGGCCUGCAAAGCCGUGUACGCGGGUUCGAAUCCCGUCCUCACCU